rnacentral:lncRNA from 1 species
UCAACUCAACUCGCAGCUGGUAUCAUCGCCAUCAGGUUCCGGUGGGUUAACCAUUUUUGCACCAGAAGAUUCUGCAUUCUCCAAACUCAAAGCAGGGUUCCUCAACUCCCUCACUGAUAGACAAAAAGUCGAACUCUUACAGUUUCACUCCCUUGCUUCAUUCGUUUCUAUUUCAAACUUCGAUACCUUAACCAACCCUGUUCAAACACAAGCCGGUGAUGAUGCUAGGCUUCAACUGAACGUCACUACUUAUGGUGGCAGUCAAGUUAGUAUGGCUACCGGAGCAGUCAAUGCUACCGUUACCGGUACUGUUUAUACCGACAGCAAACUUGCUAUUUAUCAGGUUGAUAAGGUACUUAUGCCUCUUGAUCUUGUUCUUCCGGCUAAGGCUCCAGCUCUGGCUCCUGCACCAGCUAAGGGUUUGUUGCCUAAGGCUGGAAAAACGAAUUCUUCAGUUGCAGAUGAUGGUAGUGGUGCUGGUAGUGAUGAUGGUGAUGGCAAGGAUUUACCUGCUGAUAUUUCUGCUGCAGGGUCUGUGAUGUGGGUGAAUGCUGUUGUUGUUUUUGGAAUGGGUUUGGUUGGUGGAGUUGUUCUAUAAGGUGGAUGGAUGAGCAAUAUUGAUGGAGCGAUUCAAUGAUUUUUUUAGUUGUUGUUUUGAGGUUUUAUUGUGUUCUGUUUUGUUUGAGUGAUUCUGUUUUCAUUUGAGUUUUUGCUAUUUGUUUGUAGAAUAGGGUGAAAGUUGAAAAAACAUGUUUCUGCUAUUUAUUCUUCCUAUUUGUUCAUUUUGUUUUGGUAACUUGUAAUUUGUAUUUCUUUUAUGGAUUAUUGGAAUCUAAUUAAUACUUUUUUUUUUUUACAAAAGAAUCUAAUUUAUACAUGAGGGGUUUAGGUUCUGUAUUUAGUUUUUUUAACACACGAAUAAUAAUCGAGCGUUCCUUUAAAAAAAAUUAAAAAUGAUCAAGCAUUGGUAUGCUAGUGUUAAUGAUUUUCAAGGUACCUUCUCCGUGAUCUCCUUUUAUCUUUAUCUUAGCAACAAGGUAUUCCCUCUGUCUUCCUUUCAUGAGUCACAAAAUUCGGAUAUAGCAAAGGUAUGGGGAAGUUAUGCUCCAUCAAAAAUGUUAACCUUUUCUUAGCAAUUGGUUAUGCACCAUCUUCCUACAAGAAAAAAUCUCUUCCAAGAGGUGAGUGUUAGGUGAUGUAGGGGAGGCGGGUUGCCAUAGGGUGAUGAGGACAUGGAAACCGAGGAUCGCUUGUUUACCACUUGUGAUUUCGCUAGUAAAAUUUGGCAUGAGAAUUUCAAAUGGCUUGGUGAGGUAAUAGUGUUAUGGAACAUUGCUGCAUUGCUAGAGAUUUUUGCUUCUUUGAUCCGGUAAGGAAAAGAUGAGAAGGUGAUGAUAUUAGUUUGGCAUACAACUACUUGGGAAAUUUGGAAGGCAGAGAACGAUAGAAAAUCUUCAACGAAAAAUAAAAUCUACAAAAGUGGCAGAGGAGAUUGACUCUAUAAAAGGUUUAUCUUAGCGUUGGUUUUUGGGUAAAAAUUCGGGAGAGUCAUAUGUUUCCAAUAGAUUAUAUGCUUAGGCAAUAGAGUUAGAACUAAUUUUUGGUUGAGGGUGAAGUACUGCUUGUACUUAUUCCCAUGGAAAUUUAAUACCACUUGUACUUGGUUACUCUUUUUAUCAAUAAAUUUUGUUUUCUGUUCAAGAAAAAGAAUUUGAGUUUAUGAAUAAAUUAAAUUGGACAACAGAACUAUUAUAAACGAAGUUUGAGUGGCGCUAAGAGAAGUAGGAUUGUGGAGGAAACGGAACUGUAACGGUUUGGAGGAAAUUCUGAGGAUGGAAUCUGACAUUGGAGCCUCACGGAAAUGUGGACAAGACAACAAUGUUUAAGCUCUAGUCUAGAAGAUAAAUCAUUUAGCUUAAUUACAGGGAGCAGCCGAAUGAAGGGUGCAAUGACCAACGGCGAUUGAGACCUCUGACUUGCAAGAUUUAUGAGCCACUACCGUGUGAAGGAAAUAGAGACCUGAAAUAAGGAACUCACAGUGAAGAAGAAUGGAGGGUUUCUUUCAUUUUGGUCCAUGUACCAUGUCAUUUGGUCCUUCUCAUUCUAGUCUCAGUUUUUGUACCGAUUUAAUGUCCCUAUUUAACGCUGGGGAUUAAAAUGAUUAAUAUAAUAAAGAGUUGAGGAUUUGAUUAGAUUAUCAUCUUAUUAAGAUAUCAAUUUGACAAUGAGUUACACUUUCCGAGACUAAAAUGUUGGUUUGCACAUUAUAAUCUUUUUUUACGCUGAAAUUAUGAGUGCUAAUUUUACUAUUGAAACAGGUUUUCAAAAUGGUUGACAUAAUUUAUGGCUUGAAUGCGAUUAUACAUUGAUGGUUGAUGCUUUAAAAAACAGUAGUCUGAUUCCAUGGAAGUUUUUGAAUAGAUGGCAGAACUGUAACAAUUUUACUAGCCAGAUGCGAUUCUUGUUUACUCACAUCUUCAAAGAGGGCAACAUGUUUGCCGACAAGUUAUCUAAUUAUGAUAUUUCUAUCGAGUUUUGUUGAUGUCAUUUGAUUUCUUCUUUUAUUUUAGAUGAAUUUUUUAGAAAUAAGAUUUUUCUUCCUAAUUAAACGCAUCUUCUAAUAUUGAUUUUGUUAUUUCUACUUCAAUAUCCUUGUAUCUUGAUGAGCUAGCAUACGUACUUUUAGCCUUAAAAAAGGUGGGUUCUAACACUUCAUGCAGUUGGAUUACAUGCUUGUACAUAUUAAUACACCUUAUAGGCUCUAACACUACCUAUCAUACACAAAUCUUACCUCCCUCACCAUUUAUCAGUUACAAUACUAUGAUACACCACCUUUCCAUGACAGACAAAGAAGAUUUGUUCUAUCAGAAACUGCACCUUUCUGACAAAACAUUGCACCUAAUUAACCAAUCAAUAAUUUCCAUCCCCCUAAACUAUAAAAGCCAACCCUUUCUCCCCUCUUCCUCCACAGCAACAUCAAGCAAUAAUAAGCAUUAGUAUACUCUAUCACCAUUUCCAAACAAAACCAAAAACAUGAAAAAUAUGAUGCAACAAUCUCUCAUUUCCACCUCAUUCUUUCUUCUAGCAAUUGCUUUCUACACUCCUACCACUUUAGCCCAACUCUCACCAAUUCAAACCCCAUCAACAUCAUCACCCUCACCACCCUUACCAUCAACAACAGCAUCACCACCAUUACCAGCAACAACAGCAACAGCACCAUCACCAGGAUUAAGUACAGUUCCGCUUGUUCCAACAACACCAACUGGUGCACCAUCACCCACCAUAACAGUCCCAAAAGGACCCACCAUUGACAUAAUCAACAUUCUUCAAAAAGCCAAAAGGUUCUCCGUUCUAAUCCGUCUUCUCAAAACAACACAAUUAAUCAAUCAACUCAACUCGCAGCUGGUAUCAUCGCCAUCAGGUUCCGGAGGGUUAACCAUUUUUGCACCAGAAGAUUCUGCAUUCUCCAAACUCAAAGCAGGGUUCCUCAACUCCCUCACUGAUAGACAAAAAGUCGAACUCUUACAGUUUCACUCCCUUGCUUCAUUCGUUUCUAUUUCAAACUUCGAUACCUUAACCAACCCUGUUCAAACACAAGCCGGUGAUGAUGCUAGGCUUCAACUGAACGUCACUACUUAUGGUGGCAGUCAAGUUAGUAUGGCUACCGGAGCAGUCAAUGCUACCGUUACCGGUACUGUUUAUACCGACAGCAAACUUGCUAUUUAUCAGGUUGAUAAGGUACUUAUGCCUCUUGAUCUUGUUCUUCCGGCUAAGGCUCCAGCUCUGGCUCCUGCACCAGCUAAGGGUUUGUUGCCUAAGGCUGGAAAAACGAAUUCUUCAGUUGCAGAUGAUGGUAGUGGUGCUGGUAGUGAUGAUGGUGAUGGUAAGGAUUUACCUGCUGAUGUUUCUGCUGCAGGGUCUGUGAUGUGGGUGAAUGCUGUUGUUGUUUUUGGAAUGGGUUUGGUUGGUGGAGCUGUUCUAUAAGGUUUAUUUGAUGGAAGGAUUCAGUGAUUUUUUGUUGUUCUGUGUGAUUGAUUCUGUAUUUUAUGUUGGCUUACUGUUCUGCAUCUUUGCUCUUUUAUUCUGUUAACUUGUAAUUUGUGUUUCGUUCAUGGAUUAUGAGAAUUCAAUUAUACAUGAGGGGCUUUUGAUCAUUAAUUAAUUUUUGGGUUAAAUAUGCUAUUGGUCCCUACAUUUUGUGCGACUUUGAAUAAUAGUCCCUACAUUUUAAUAAAUGUUUUUAAAAUCCUUACAUUUUUACUCCGUUAUCAUUAAUAGUCCCCGCCGUCAAUUUCUUCCCAGUCACCAAACAGAAUGCUGACGUGGCAUAAUGGUGGAUCCCAUAUUUUUUAUUUUUUAAUCCUAUAAUAAAAUAUAUCAAAAGCUACGUUAAUAAACUAAGCCAAAGUAUUAUUAUUUUUUUUUCUUCCUGAAAGUCACCAAAUAAGAUCCAGAAUCAAAGGCAACGCAAACAAAACUUUAACAAAUAGCAUUCACCAUAUGCAAUUCAUGAAACAAAAUCAAAAUUGAGAAACAGAACCUAAGCCUCAGUAACGGGAUACUAAAGACAACAUCUUUGCCUGAUAGUUUCCUGUAAAUUGCAGUGUUGUUUCUAUCCUUUGGGUCAAAAAACACCUUCAUGAUCUUUGAUCCAUCAACAACAUUAAUCUCAGUGGAUUUCUUCAUCUCUUGCAUACCCCAACAACAACAAAAAUAUUGCAGUAACCCAUCUGAGAUCUCAGUGAAUUUCUUCCCUCUGAGAUCUGAGCAUCGACAACAAUGGUGAUGGUAUGGGUAUGGUAAGGUCAUGAUGGCUGCAAUGGUAACAGCGUGGAGGCGUGGUGGUGAGACGGUGGAGCGCGGAGAGGAUGGAAGUUCCGAUUUGUGAUGGGGCGGCGCUUACGGCGGAGAGAGUGACGAAGAUGGUGAUAGUGAGGUGGCUGGAUGGUGGAGGCACAAGGGUCGUGUGAGAGGAUGGGUGGUUACAUGAGAGAGCUGAAGAGAGAGCAUCUGGAAAAUGAUUUUAGGGCUAUGGGUUUUGGAAUGGAACUUGCAGCAACAAUGGACAUGGUGGAAAAAUGAUGAACAUGGGUUAAAUUCAUAUGAACCGGGUCAAAUAGAACCGUUUUGGUCCAAACCCGGUUUUAAUUUUGAUAAGAAAAAUAAAAUAAAAUAAAAUAAAAAUUUUGCCAUGUCAGCCUUCUGUUAGCUUAUCAUGCAAAAAUAUCGGCAGAGACCAAUUGUACUGAUGAAAGUAAAAUGUAAGGAUUUUAAAAACAUUUAUUGAAAUGCAAAGACUAUUAUUCAAAGUCGCAUAAAAUAUAAGGAACCAAAAACAUAUUUAACCCUUAAUUUUUUCCAAGAUAUGUUGGUUAUAGUUUCUUUUGUUGUAUAAAGAUCUCUCAUGGAAUUUGUAACUAUCAUAUUGCACAUUGGUUAGGUAACGCUUAUUUCAAAUAAGGAGAAUGUCCUUCACUAUUUAAAAAUCAAAAUCAAUUUAGGUUAAAGAUCAAUUUUUUUUUAACAAGCAAAAAUGAAAUAUAUAUUAACCACAAAAAGUAACUCUUCUAGUACAAGAUGUGCCAAAAGAAUUACCUAAGGAAUAAAGUAGCAGUUAUAUAACCAACAAACAAACCAUUAAGUGAUGUCCAAGCAUUGAAACGGACUUGAACGCCACCUAUCUGUGCCAAACUUAAAGGCAGCCUUUUUGGAUUUCAUCCAGACUAAAGACAAAUAUUUCACUUUAUCUAGCAACCUAGGCAUAGGACUUACAACAUUAUUGAAAAGCCUAUUAUUGCGCUCAUUGCAUAAGACCCACACGCACAAUAGCCAAAUAAGUUGAAGGAAUGAUCACUUUGCUUUGCCACCACCUGCUAUAUGCACGAAUUGAAGAAAAUGAUUGGCUAUAACAUUAGUGUCGACGCCUAUAAUGCCCAACCAAUGGCACACUAGGGGCCAAAACGAUGAAUAAAUAUUACAAGAUAAAAACAAAUGUUGUUUUGUUUCCACUAAGCCGCAAUCAGCGACACACAAAGAAGCUUCUGAAGAAAUAACCCGUCUAUGGACCAGGUUGGACUUAGUUGGCAAUCUGUUAUGAAGCAACCUCCAGGCAAAGAUAGAAACCUUUAACGACACCUGAUUAUGCCAAAUCAAAGAUGAUGCAUGAUUCGCAAUAGAAGUAUCCUUUGUAGUUAGUAGAUGAUAAGACCCGCGAACUGAGUACCCUUCAGAAGGGUCCGGUAACCAAACCCACUUGUCUGAAAUAUUAGCAUACAAAGAAACAUCAAGCAGUAAAGUCCUACACUCCUCUAACUCCUCUUCCUCCCACGCCCACAAACUCCUCCUCCACUUCCACGCCUCCCCCCUGCUCAAAACCAAAAGAAAACAAAUUCGCCACUAUAAUGAAUUUGUUCUCGGAAAGAGCAAACAAUCGAGGAUACCUCACACACAAAGUAGCCGAUCCUAACCACUUAUCAAACCAAAACAGAGUAUCGAAACCAUCCCCCAACUUCUUAGACACAGACUCCCCAAACCAGCCUCCACCAACAACACUGCCCCAUCUCUAAUCCUCGCCACCUCCCUCCACCAAGAAGAACAACUCCGGCCCCCAACCUCCAACCUCCCACCUACUUCGCCAUACGGGCGACUAAAACUCAAUACCACAAACCACUCCUAUCAACAAGCAUCCUCCAACACCACUUUCCUAACAAAGCCUGAUUAAACUCCUUCAACUGUCUCACCCCCAAACCUCCAAACUCCUUAUGGAGGCACACAUUAUGCCACCCUAUCCAAGAUAUUUUCCUAUUAUCCUCACUCCCACCCCAAAAAAAAAUUAUUAAACAAAGAUUCAAUGGAAGAGAUUAUACCUGAUGGAGCUUUGAAGAAGGAAAGCGCAUAGACAGGCAGAGAGGUCAAGACAUAUUUUAAAAGAACCAGCUGCCUCUAAAAGAGAAAAAACGUCUAUUCCAACCAGACAUCCUAACUUUAAUCUGAUUCACAAUAGGAUCCCAGAAACUCAAUCGCCGAGGAUUACCUCCAAUAGACAUACCCAGGUACAUAAAAGGCACAUUGCCCACUUUGCAACUUAAAACAGAUGCCGCCCCAUUUAACCAAGAGGGAGAAAUAUUGACACCAACUAAAAUGCUCUUAUGAAAGUUCACCUUCAAACCUGACAUAGCCUAAAAAAUAACAAGAGCAGCCCUUAGAGCACGGACAUUUAUCCAACUUUUAGUUCCCAAUAACAGGGUGUCAUCCGCAAAUUGAAGAUGGGACACCACAACCGAAUUAGCUGCCCCAAUACUAUAACCAGUGAACAACUGAGUUUGAACCAAAGAAUUCAUCAGAAUAUUAAGACCCUCUGCAGCCAACAAAAAAAGGAACGAUGAAAAAGGGUCGCCUUGCCGUAAUCCCCUUUUUAACGGGAACUUAUCUGUCGGACUACCAUUAACAAGCACUGAAGUCGUAGCUGUACCAACACACUCACGAAUCCACUUUCUCCAAAGAGCCGGGAAAGACAUACGACCCAACACAGAGUCCAGAUAACCCCAAUCAACAGAGUCAUAAGCCUUUUCAAAAUCCACCUUAAACAACAUAAGAUCUUUCUUUAAUUUUUGAGCUUCAUCCACAACCUCAUUAGCUAUAAGAAUACCGUCAAGAAUUUGUCUAUUUUUAACAAACGCUGACUGAGACUCCGAAAUAACGGAACCAAUCACCCCACAAAGUCUGUUAGCUAGUAAUUUUGCAAGAAUUUUAUACAAACUCCCCACCAGAGAGAUGGGUCGAAAAUCAUUAAGACGCUGAGGGCUAUCAACCUUCGGAAUUAGAGCGAUGAAAGUGGUGUUAAUACCUUUGGAUAAUUUACCAUUGCGGUGGAAUUCGGAAACAAAACGCAAAAUCUCAUCCUUCAACUAUAUCCAAAAUUUCUUAAUGAAGCCAAAGUUAAUACCAUCAGGUCCCGGGCUCUUCUAACUGUCACAAUCCCACACAACUUCCUUAAUUUCGUCUAGUGAAAAUGGUUUGAUAAGACCCACACCCUCCUCAACAGACAAAGUUUGAAACUGCAAGUUGGCAAUACUAGGACAUUCCACAACAUCAUAUCGACAGUGAUUCUGAAAAUGCCAAAAGACUGCUUCACAAAUGGGGUGAACACCUUCCACCAAGACCCCAUCCACCAAAAUAGAGCACAGCGAAUUACGUCGCCUCCUACUAGCCAUGACUGAAUGAAAAUAUUUUGAAUUAGCAUCACCAUCACGCAACCACUGAACCCGGGACUGUUGCCAGCAAAUACUAGUAUUAAGUCGGGACAAGGAAUGAAUAUCCAACGAAACACCAUGAAAUUAUGCGCAUUCCUCCUCUGACAACACCAUAGAUUUGCCUUUUUCAUCUAAAUAUGCCAGACGAUCCUUCAAACCUAAAAUCUUCCCCGGUAAAUUUUGAGUAUGAGAGGCAUGCCAAAACCACUAUCACACACUUGUAACUUUGUUUCUUGAAGACACAAAAUAAAAGGACACUUAUCUUGAAUCAAAGUACAGACCUCCUUCCUCUUUUCAAACCCACCUAACCCCUGCACAUUUCACGUUAUGAUCUUCAUCUCCACACCCUCACCCUAACCACCCUCCCCCACCACUCCCACACCUAACACCCUCCAACAGCCGCACUCUCUCCCCCAUAUCUCCUUUCACUCCGCCCCUCCUUUCUCUCUCUCCCCCUCUUCUAGACAACACCCCAAACAUAUUAUUAUUACUCCCAUUAAACUGAACACUGAUAGCCUCACCAAUCCCCUUUACAUCAUCCACAACUACCUUCUCAUUCCCAUGCACAACCACAAAAUUAACCCAAUCGUUGUUAACUGAACAUGAAGAAGAACUUUUAUCUGAAGCUCCCGAAGACCCCACCUUCACCGCCUUUUUCAGACGAUCCGACCCAUGUAAUUUUCUAGCUUUAGAUUUUAGAAUGUGCAAAACUGUUGAUCAAUCAUUGGUCGGUAACCUUGCCACUUUUUUCAAACUAUUCACCGAAUGUCGCAAGAUACCAUCCACUUUCUUUCGUUUCU